rnacentral:tRNA from 1 species
GUCCCCUUCGUCUAGAGGCCCAGAACACCGCCCUUUCACGGCGGUAACAGGGGUUCGAAUCCCCUAGGGGACGCCA